rnacentral:rRNA from 1 species
CCUACGGGUGGCAGCAGUGAGGAAUAUUGGUCAAUGGGCGAGAGUCUGAACCAGCCAAGUAGCGUGAAGGAUGACUGUCCUAUGGAUUGUAAACUUCUUUUAUAAGGGAAUAAAACGAGGCACGUGUGCCUUUUCGCAUGUACUUGAUGAAUAAGGAUCGGCUAACUCCGUGCCAGCAGCCGCGGUAAUACGGAGGAUCCGAGCGUUAUCCGGAUUUAUUGGGUUUAAAGGGCGCGGAGAUGGGUUGUUAAGUCAGUUGUGAAAGUUUGCGGCUCAACCGUAACAUGGCAGUUGAUACUGGCAGUCUUGAGUACGGUUGAGGUAGGCGGAAUUCGUGGUGUAGCGGUGAAAUGCAUAGAUAUCACGAAGAACCCCGAUUGCGAAGGCAGCAUACCAACCUGUGACUGACAUUGAUGCUCGAAAGUGUGGGUAUCGAACAGGAUUAGAUACCCCGGUAGUC